UACAGAGGGUGCGAGCGUUAAUCGGAAUUACUGGGCGUAAAGCGUGCGUAGACGGUAGCGUAAGUCAGAUGUGAAAGCCCCGGGCUCAACCUGGGAAUUGCAUUUGAGACUGCUCUGCUCGGGUGCGGAAGAGGGAAGCGGAAUUUCCGGUGUAGCGGUGGAAUGCGUAGAGAUCCGGAAGAACACCGGUGGCGAAGGCGGCCUGCUGGGCAGUAGCUGACGCUGAGGCGCGACAGCGUGGGGAGCAAACAGG
rnacentral:rRNA from 1 species